rnacentral:lncRNA from 1 species
AGCUUGAAUUGAUUUAAUAAUGGUCAAGCAUUGAUGUGGUGAAUUAUUUAUUGUACAUUGUGGAUAUGUGGUGAGUAAAUUACACUAGUAAAAGUACAGAGAUUGUGCUUGGAGAUUGAGAUUAGGAGUACAUCGACUCCUAGAACUGUGAGUAAACUUAUUAUCGUCUUAAUUAUCUAGAGUAGUUUUAUAUAAUUGUGUGAUUUUAUGAAAAAUGGGUUUAAAUGGUAAAUUGCAAUGUUUUAGGAGAAAUUGUGAUUUUAUAAAAUGAUUUUAUAAAUUUUCUGAAAAAUUGAAUACUGGUUUUGAAAUUAAAGUAAUUGGAGACUGCCUGCUUGUGUUAUAAAUUGUGUUUUAAAUUAUAUGGCUUAUAGCAAUAUGUGAGCAUGAGUGGCAAAGUUGGUAUUUGUAUAAAAAAUUAUAUAUACUAUGUAUUCAGCCUUGAGAGGCUAAAUUGCAAUAAAUCGCCAUGUCAUGUGGAUAAAUAUUUUAUAAAUUAGGUGGUAGAUAAAAUAAUCCAUAGUCACUAUAGUGGUGGGGGUUCCCGUCGACUGCCUAUGAGGGGGACACGGUAACUCAAUUAUAUAUUUACCUCCAAUGGGAGAUGUUGGAUGAAGUAUCUCCUGAGGUAAAGAUUUGAGUGCACUUCACGUGGACCACCGCGUGAGAGUGAGACUCAGCUAAUGCUAAGGAACGGUUGUGUGUCAGAUGCGAAAACAUAUUUAUGGGUAUGGGACAUUUAACAGCCUUGGCGGUCUUAGUGGGAUACCUUGACGAAGGUACUCGCAAGAAUGAUUUUGGUAGGAGCCAAGUUUUGUAAGAUAUAUAAGCCAUGUUGAUUAAUUGAGUAAACUGAAUAUUCAUGUUAUGAAACAUAUAUUGGAAAAGAAUAUUUUAAUUUAUCUCCAUUUACUCGCCUUUAGAUGGUUUAGAUGGUGUCUGUUUACUCAUUGAGAUUUUAUAAUCUCACCACCCUCAUUUUCUCACAUUUCAGGCUCAGGGAAUUCCAUAGUUAGUUGACUUUGACAAGGACCUUCAUUUGGACU